rnacentral:rRNA from 1 species
GCCAGCAGCCAUAUCACUCUGCAGCUCACAACUGGCAACCCACUCAAGCUAAGCAGGUGGAGCCUGGUCAGUACCUGGAUGGGAGACUUCUUGGGAAAAGGUUGCUGCUGGAA